rnacentral:rRNA from 1 species
GACGAACGCUGGCGGCGUGCUUAACACAUGCAAGUCGAACGAGAACGGGAUAUAGCUUGCUAUAUUUGUCAGCUAAGUGGCGCACGGGUGAGUAAUGUAUAGAUAACCUGCCCUCUAGAAAGGAAUAACAGUUGGAAACGACUGCUAAUGCCCUAUAUGCCUUUAAUACAUAAGUAUGCAAGGGAAACGCUUGUAGUGCUAGAGGAUGGGUCUGUAUGGUAUCAGCUUGUUGGUGAGGUAAUGGCUCACCAAGGCUAUGACGCCUAACUGGGUUGACAGGAUGAUCAGUCACACUGGAACUGAGACACGGUCCAGACUCCUACGGGAGGCAGCAGUGGGGAAUAUUGCACAAUGGACGAAAGUCUGAUGCAGCAACGCCGCGUGGAGGAUGACACAUUUCGGUGCGUAUACUCCUUUUAUAUAGGAAGAUAAUGACGGUACUAUAUGAAUAAGCACCGGCUAACUCCGUGCCAGCCGCCGCAGUAA